rnacentral:rRNA from 1 species
AACUAACGCUGGCGGCGUGCCUAACACAUGCAAGUCGUACGAGAAAGCCGGCUUCGGCUGGUGAGUAAAGUGGCGCACGGGUGAGUAACGCGUGGAUAAUCUGCCCUUAAGUGUGGAAUAACGUAGCGAAAGCUACGCUAAUACCGCAUACGAUCUACGGAUGAAAGCGGGGGAUCGCAAGACCUCGCGCGAUUGGAGCGGCCGAUAUCAGAUUAGCUAGUUGGUGGGGUAAAAGCUCACCAAGGCGACGAUCUGUAGCUGGUCUGAGAGGACGACCAGCCACACUGGAACUGAGACACGGUCCAGACUCCUACGGGAGGCAGCAGUGGGGAAUUUUGGACAAUGGGCGCAAGCCUGAUCCAGCAAUGCCGCGUGCAGGAUGAAGGCCUUCGGGUUGUAAACUGCUUUUGUACGGAACGAAACGGUGAGCUCUAAUAAAGCUUGCUAAUGACGGUACCUUAAGAGGAAGCCCCGGCUAACUACGUG